rnacentral:rRNA from 1 species
CUGCGAAUGGCUCAUUAAAUCAGUUAUCGUUUAUUUGAUAGUACCUUACUACAUGGAUAACCGUGGUAAUUCUAGAGCUAAUACAUGCUAAAAACCUCGACUUCGGAAGGGGUGUAUUUAUUAGAUAAAAAACCAAUGCCCUUCGGGGCUCCCUGGUGAUUCAUAAUAACUUAACGAAUCGCAUGGCCUUGUGCCGGCGAUGGUUCAUUCAAAUUUCUGCCCUAUCAACUUUCGAUGGUAGGAUAGUGGCCUACCAUGGUUUCAACGGGUAACGGGGAAUUAGGGUUCUAUUCCGGAGAAGGAGCCUGAGAAACGGCUACUACAUCCAAGGAAGGCAGCAGGCGCGCAAAUUACCCAAUCCCGACACGGGGAGGUAGUGACAAUAAAUACUGAUACAGGGCUCUUUUGAGUCUUGUAAUUGGAAUGAGUACAAUUUAAAUACCUUAACGAGGAACAAUUGGAGGGCAAGUCUGGUGCCAGCAGCCGCGGUAAUUCCAGCUCCAAUAGCGUAUAUUAAAGUUGUUGCAGUUAAAAAGCUCGUAGUUGAACCUUGGGCCUGGUUGGCCGGUCCGCCUCACCGCGUGCACUGGUCCGACCGGGUCUUUCCUUCUGGGGAGCCGCAUGCCCUUCACUGGGUGUGUCGGGGAACCAGGACUUUUACUUUGAAAAAAUUAGAGUGUUCAAAGCAGGCCUAUGCUCGAAUACAUUAGCAUGGAAUAAUAGAAUAGGACGUGUGGUUCUAUUUUGUUGGUUUCUAGGACCGCCGUAAUGAUUAAUAGGGAUAGUCGGGGGCAUCAGUAUUCAAUUGUCAGAGGUGAAAUUCUUGGAUUUAUUGAAGACUAACUACUGCGAAAGCAUUUGCCAAGGAUGUUUUCAUUAAUCAGUGAACGAAAGUUAGGGGAUCGAAGACGAUCAGAUACCGUCGUAGUCUUAACCAUAAACUAUGCCGACUAGGGAUCGGGCGAUGUUAUCUUUUUGACUCGCUCGGCACCUCACGAGAAA